rnacentral:tRNA from 1 species
CCGGACGAGGGCGUGUGGGCGGACAUCUCGGCGCUGGCGGGGCCGGGGGCCGUGGUCGCCAUGGCAGGCGGGAUCGUCCCGCCGCCCGGC